GCUCUGUCGUCUGGGAGAACAGCUCAGGGUCAGUGAUAUUCUAGAGCAUAUAGGACUUUCAGAAAAAAAAUGUAUCCAGAGGCAGCAGGCAUGAUUGACCACUCCAGUAGUUUAUAUGCAAUUUUCUCUUACAGUACCUGAGUAUUUUUUUCAGUGUUAGUGAUUGGGCAGUGUCAUUUCUCUGUAACAGUAAGAGCGGCUCUGCAUUCAGAGAAUUAAUUGUUUAACAGAUGGAAUGGUCUGGGUUGGACAUUAAGUUCUGCUGUAAAU